rnacentral:tRNA from 1 species
UGGCUGAGCGGUAAAGCGCUUGGCUUCCGAACUGGGGGUCCCGGGUUCAAAUCCUGG